rnacentral:rRNA from 1 species
AAAAAAGGUAAGCUACUAAGAGCGAAUGGUGGAUGCCUUGACUGGUAAAGGCGAUGAAGGACGUACUAGACUGCGAUAAGCUACGGGGAGCUGUCAAGAAGCUUUGAUCCGUAGAUUUCCGAAUGGGGCAACCCAAUGUAUAGAGAUAUACAUUACCUAUAUAGGAGCGAACGAGGGGAAUUGAAACAUCUUAGUACCCUCAGGAAAAGAAAUCAAUAGAGAUUGCGUCAGUAGCGGCGAGCGAAAGCGCAAGAGGGCAAACCCAGUGCUUGCACUGGGGGUUGUAGGACUGCAAUGUGCAAGAGGUAAGUUUAGCAGAACAUUCUGGAAAGUAUAACCAUAGAGGGUGAUAGUCCCGUAUGCGAAAAACAAACCUUAGCUAGCAGUAUCCUGAGUAGGGCGGGACACGAGAAAUCCUGUCUGAAGCUGGGUCGACCACGAUCCAACCCUAAAUACUAAUACCAGAUCGAUAGUGCACAAGUACCGUGAGGGAAAGGUGAAAAGAACUGAGGUGAUCAGAGUGAAAUAGAACCUGAAACCAUUUGCUUACAAUCAUUCAGAGCCCUAUGUAGCAAUACAGGGUGAUGGACUGCCUUUUGCAUAAUGAGCCUGCGAGUUGUGGUGUCUGGCAAGGUUAAGCAAACGCGAAGCCGUAGCGAAAGCGAGUCUGAAUAGGGCGCUUAGUCAGAUGCUGCAGACCCGAAACGAAGUGAUCUAUCCAUGAGCAAGUUGAAGCUAGUGUAAGAACUAGUGGAGGACUGAACCCAUAGGCGUUGAAAAGCCCCGGGAUGACUUGUGGAUAGGGGUGAAAGGCCAAUCAAACUUCGUGAUAGCUGGUUCUCUCCGAAAUAUAUUUAGGUAUAGCGUUGUGUCGUAAUAUAAGGGGGUAGAGCACUGAAUGGGCUAGGGCAUACACCAAUGUACCAAACCCUAUCAAACUCCGAAUACCUUAUAUGUAAUCACAGCAGUCAGGCGGCGAGUGAUAAAAUCCGUCGUCAAGAGGGAAACAACCCAGACUACCAGCUAAGGUCCCUAAAUCUUACUUAAGUGGAAAACGAUGUGAAGUUACUUAAACAACCAGGAGGUUGGCUUAGAAGCAGCCAUCCUUUAAAGAAAGCGUAAUAGCUCACUGGUCUAGUGAUUUUGCGCGGAAAAUAUAACGGGGCUAAAGUAAGUACCGAAGCUGUAGACUUGCGCACAACUUAGAUUAUUUAAGUUUAGAAUAUGAGAAACUAAGUUAUAUGUUUAGUUAUAUUUUUACUGAUUUUUAUAGAGUAAAGAUAGAAAUAAAACUUAGUAAAAUCAGUAAAAAUAUUCUUAGACUAAAGUUAAGUAGUUUAAGUUGUGUGCAAGUGGUAGGAGAGCGUUCUAUUUGCGUCGAAGGUAUACCGGUAAGGAGUGCUGGAGCGAAUAGAAGUGAGCAUGCAGGCAUGAGUAGCGAUAAUUAAUGUGAGAAUCAUUAACGCCGUAAACCCAAGGUUUCCUACGCGAUGCUCGUCAUCGUAGGGUUAGUCGGGUCCUAAGUCGAGUCCGAAAGGGGUAGACGAUGGCAAAUUGGUUAAUAUUCCAAUACCAACAUUAGUGUGCGAUGGAAGGACGCUUAGGGCUAAGGGGGCUAGCGGAUGGAAGUGCUAGUCUAAGGUCGUAGGAGGUUAUACAGGCAAAUCCGUAUAACAAUACUCCGAGAACUGAAAGGCUUUUUGAAGUCUUCGGAUGGAUAGAAGAACCCCUGAUGCCGUCGAGCCAAGAAAAGUUUCUAAGUUUAGCUAAUGUUGCCCGUACCGUAAACCGACACAGGUGGGUGGGAUGAGUAUUCUAAGGCGCGUGGAAGAACUCUCUUUAAGGAACUCUGCAAAAUAGCACCGUAUCUUCGGUAUAAGGUGUGGUUCGCUUCGUAUUAGGAUUUACUCCGAAAGCGAAGAAACUUACAACAAAGAGUCCCUCCCGACUGUUUACCAAAAACACAGCACUCUGCUAACUCGUAAGAGGAUGUAUAGGGUGUGACGCCUGCCCGGUGCUCGAAGGUUAAUUGAUGGGGUUAGCAUUAGCGAAGCUCUUGAUCGAAGCCCGAGUAAACGGCGGCCGUAACUAUAACGGUCCUAAGGUAGCGAAAUUCCUUGUCGGUUAAAUACCGACCUGCAUGAAUGGCGUAACGAGAUGGGAGCUGUCUCAAAGAGGGAUCCAGUGAAAUUGUAGUGGAGGUGAAAAUUCC